GGCCAUCUGUAUUUAUAUAUUUUCUCGAAAAAAUCUGUUUGUAUAUACAACAUAUUAGUUUACAAAUCCUUCAUCUAAUGAUAACUUACAACAUAGAUUCACUAAAUAUAUUACUGAAGAAGGUUAAGAAGCACUACAAUCCAGUUUACAUCAACAAAACAUAAAAACUUUUGAGGCUGCUGUUCAGGUUCUUCGUCGACUCUCCUGAUGGCAACUAUCAUGUCAUGGCGAGGAUUAUGGUGGGUAGCACUAUGUAGCCCACUACCCAAUCAUACCUAGCAUAUUUAAAAGAACAUUAAAUUUUUGCAGAUUCAUAGAUAGUAGAGACAAGAGUAUUACAACAAGCGUAAAAAUGUAUUACAUGUCCACUUGGCCAGCAUUGAGAGUACUAUUACUUAUAACAGGAAAAAUAAUGAAAUGAAACAAACCAGUAUAUUUGAAUAGAAGGUGACAAGAACUACAAAUAUAAUCUAUUACAUGGCUUACAAAUUACUUCAUGGUUAUUAAGGUACAGGCUAAAUCAUAAAACACGAACACCAACAGCAAGUGUUAUUAUGAACUGGAUAACCUUGCAACGCCCAAUUGCUCUCAUCUACCCACUUGACCAGCAUAGUACUGUUAUCUAUAACAGGAAACAAUAAUGAAAGGAACCAAUAUACAUGUAUACAGGACAACAAUAGGAACAAGAAAUCAGAGAAAGAGAUUCAAGUCAUAGUGAAAUCAAGGACAUAAGAGAGAAGAUAAAUUGGAUUGUUUUAUAUAAAAUCAAAGUUCAGAAAUGUGCAGAGAUAUUCAGUGGUGGACGUUGGGAGGACCAUAAUUAUUUUUGUAUACACUAUUUAAUUGCAUGUGCGUUACAACGGGAAUAUACAUAUUCUAGUUGUUCAUACAUCUUCCAGUUGUUCAACACCAAUCUUGGCUAACAUAUAUUUUUAGUAUCCUAAUGCACAUUAGGCCGAAUUGUAAAAAAAAAAAUCUUCCUCUCCACAUACUAUCUCAGUCAUACAGAUCCAUGUUAUCAGUUCCCUUUCCUCGCCCAUUCACACACACUUUGAAUUUAAAACACAUAACCAUCCAGCUGGCAUAUUUCACAAUGUGCUUAUCUUGACAAGGCAUGUCUACCAUUUUCAAUUGUGUCACGUAAACUUCCCCCUCUCCCUAUCCUUUCCUCUCUUCAACCCUCAAUUACUCAACAGAUUCAGACAUUUUGAUGUGCAGCAACAUAUUUAAUUAAUAUUAUGGUACCACAAAUUCAUAUAUUUGUUGAAUUGACACACAUGUUUGACGACCAAUUUUAUGGAGAAAAAAAAACCAACACACGAGACAAACAACUAAAUGGAUAUUUUGUAUUCCUUUUCAUAUGUUUGGUAGCAAGGUAAUAUGUGUAGGCAUUUAUUGUUCCUUCUUAUUUGACAAUUGCUUACAGAUCUUAACGACACGAGACUGAUUAACAUCACAAGUCUAAAGAAACAAUAUUGAUAACAAGAAAAGGUAGAUAUCUAAAAAGUGUACUCGUUUGUGGUGUUGUCUAGUGAAAGAUAAAAAGAAUGUUUCCUUACCAACAGAUUCCCAAUUUCUCUUGAUGUCAUCAACUCCAGCAAAGUGAAAGCUUCUAGCAUAAACCAACUCUGAGGAUCUGACAUGUAAAUCCUCCUGGAGAGUUACAGUCCACUAUGCUAUCAUGGGCCGGUACUGUUACAUGAAGCAGACAGGAGUUUUAAAGAUUGAUAUGCAUGGAUCAUACCUAACCUUUACUUGCAUGAAUCGAGCAGUACAGUGUAACUAAAAUCAUGAUGUGCAAUUCGUAGAAUGAAUGGUUUCAGUGUUUCGUUGUCAAUGUCAACCAAUCAAAUCGGCGCACCAUUCACAGAGAGCCUGGUCAAAUCAACAUUUUACUUUCUUCAUCUCCUCUAUGUGCAUGUAUAUUAGCAUUGCGUUCGAAACACACAUAGCCACACACCCUUUAGCAUCAGAAUUAUAAUAAUCAAAGGAUACCAGAUUCAGCAAAAGGUUGUACAUGCAUCAGGUCGUACUGUGUAUUAGACGAUGGGUGAUGAUGGGUGCACAACACGUCCGGCCGGCGGCAGGUAGACGCGUCAACCUUGUUCCUGCACAUCAAGCCAGCUGUGGCAUGGCUUCUACAUGAUCUCUCCUUCAGUGCAGGGACCUUGGGGUGGGGCUGCGAUGCCUCACGAUGGUGGAAACCAGGCACAUCUGCCAAGCCGCCAAAUAUCUUUGUGAAUAUAAGAAGGAUUCAGUCCAACUAAAUCAUAAUCUGUUUAUAUAGCAGUAAUAAUAAAUCUAUUUAUACACAAGGAGCAGAAAUCGUAAUCCUAGCCAAAAGUAAGGAAAAGGGAAACCAAUCUGCUGCAUGCUAAGUAAGCUCCAAAUCUCUACAGCAGAUGAAAGGAGAUCAGAAUUUGAUUAUGAAAUAGCAGUAGUGUAUUCGAACGACUACCUAUGCAUUGUAAGGGCAUCCGUAAACUAGAGAGAGGGAACCGAGCGACCUUUCCUUUGUAGGAAUCCACGACCACAACGUCAGCCGGAGGCGGCAAAAGAACUUGGAAGGGGGUCGCGUGGCAACACUAAGCCACGAUGUUGAGGAAGCUAACAGGAGAGGUGGGAGCCGCGCUGGUAACCAGUGGCGACUAGGGUUCGCUGGUGCUUCCAGCCGCCGCAGUAUACCGCCUUCCACCGCAUGGCCGCUCCACUUCCACAAGGCCGACGUCGGGGUUGAGUUUCGCGUCAGAUCUGCGCGCGCCCAAGAUACCACUGCGAUUGCAGCUUGUAGGAGACGAGGGAGAGGUGCCAUUAAAGUGGUAGUGGACGAGGUUGAGGAGAUUCCGGAUUUCCGGGUAAGAGAAAGGGCGCAUGUGGGGAGGUGGAGGAACGAGGGAUCACCGGGACGGUGAGGGUGCAGAGAAGGGAUAAGGGGAUCGAUGGUGAGGGAUAAGAGGAGGGGGCGGCGGCGGGGGGAGAAAGAG
rnacentral:lncRNA from 1 species